GAGUUUGAUCCUGGCUCAGAUUGAACGCUGGCGGCAGGCCUAACACAUGCAAGUCGAGCGGAUGACGGGAGCUUGCUCCUUGAUUCAGCGGCGGACGGGUGAGUAAUGCCUAGGAAUCUGCCUGGUAGUGGGGGACAACGUUUCGAAAGGAACGCUAAUACCGCAUACGUCCUACGGGAGAAAGCAGGGGACCUUCGGGCCUUGCGCUAUCAGAUGAGCCUAGGUCGGAUUAGCUAGUUGGUGGGGUAAUGGCUCACCAAGGCGACGAUCCGUAACUGGUCUGAGAGGAUGAUCAGUCACACUGGAACUGAGACACGGUCCAGACUCCUACGGGAGGCAGCAGU
rnacentral:rRNA from 1 species